UACGUUUAGAUGUCUGGCAUAUAAAUUUUUGAAAUUUAAAGGUUAAACUAGUGUUUAAAAAUGUAA
rnacentral:tRNA from 1 species